GAGUUUGAUUCUGGCUCAGGAUAAACGCUGGCGGCGUACAUAAGACAUGCAAGUCGAACGGCGGAAGCUGGAAGUUUUAAACAUCUAGUGGAAACCGUGGCGGACGGGUGAGUAACACGUAAGUAACCUGCCUAUAAGAGGGGGAUAACAGGAAGAAAUUCCUGACAAUACCGCAUAAGCUAGAAUUACCGCAUGGUAAAGUUAGAAAAGAUUUAUUACUUAUAGAUGGGCUUGCGACUGAUUAGCUAGUUGGUGAGAUAAUAGCUCACCAAGGCGACGAUCAGUAGCCGGAUUGAGAGGUUGAACGGCCACAUUGGGACUGAGACACGGCCCAGACUCCUACGGGAGGCAGCAGUCGGGAAUAUUGCACAAUGGAGGAAACUCUGAUGCAGUGAACGCCGCGUAUAGGAAGAAGGUCUUAGGAUUGUAAGCUAUUGUUCGUGUGAGAAGAAAAUGACUUCCCCGGGGA
rnacentral:rRNA from 1 species